GAUCCUUAACCCAGUGAGGGAAGCCAGGAUCAAACCGCAUCCUCACGGAAAUUAUGUCGGGUUUUUAACCAGCUGAGCCACAAUAAGAACUCUCUAUUUCAUUUUUUUCAUUUCAUCCUGGUUAUUACUUAUUUAGAACUCCCCAUUACUUCAUGAUGAAUAUGUUGCCAUUUUUCCAUGGAAUUAAUUAUACCUUAUAAAAUACUGUAAAUGAUUCUUAGUGUGUUCUUCGCCCACAGCCUUCAAAAAUGAGUGAGAAGGUCAUAGAGGGACCAGAAAUUCUACUAUUCAAAGAAAGAUCAAAGACAUCCAGCUGACAAAAAAAGAGGUAAAUACUUUUUACUGUAUUUUUUCUUGUUUACUGAAAACAGUGUCAAGUAAGAAAAAAAUGAAAUCAUAACAAUUGUGCCCAUAUAUUUGUUAUUAUAUAUCUGGUUCUUUACAAAUUAAGUGGUAUAUUUAAAUGCAGUAUUCAAUGAAAUUUGUGAUAAGUGAUAUUAAUAUGGAACUCCAGAAGAAUUUCAAUUUUUCUCGACUUCUGAGGAUUCUGCUCAUUAUAUAUUCUGCCUUUUUGAUUUUGUACAGAAUUUCCAUAGCAUUUUGUUUCAGGAAUCCUAGGAAUAAUAUGUUUUUUCCUCCUGCUGGCAACCAGAGGCUUAGGAUAUAGAAGAGAAAAUUUGGGAUGAGAGUGAGAAGUUAAUGCCAAAACCUGGAUUCUAGUCUCAUUAAGAUUGAUGACCAAAAGGAGCAGUUUUGUUCUCCUCGGUUUUCCUCCAGCCUUUGAAGUUUCUGGACUUUGAAGUUUCAGUGACACUGCUUAUACCUUUCAUCUCCAUAUAUCCACAAACUAUUCAAGCUCCUUUGAAAUUUAAAGCUUUUGAUGUUGAUUAGAUCGAAGCUAUACACUAUGCAAUCCCUGUGGUAAACUUUGUUGUGGAACAGAAUUACUCUCAUGCUAAUGGUUUAGGAUGUUCAGUCUUUUGCAGAUUUACAAAACAUAAGAGUGUAAUUAGAGCAAUUACUUAAAUCCAUUGAUAUUUGAAAACUGAGACUGGCUUUUAUACAUUUAUGUAUAUCCCUGACAUCUAGCAAAAAUAUGUAAAUGAAAAACUAAGGAAUAUUUAAUUUUAGUGCUUUUUCAGAGACCUGAGAAUGAUAAGCAUAUUUUGACAUUUCUGUGAUACCCAUACAUUUCUCCUAAACAUUAAAAAUAAUUAUUAUAAUUUUCCUCUUAUACAAUGUAAUUACAGUUGAAAAAUACUGGUUGGUGUGUAUCUGUGUGUGUGUGAGAGAGAGAGAGAGACAAACAGAGACAGAGACAGAGAGACAGAGACAGAGGUACAUUGUUUUAGGAAAGAAUAUUACUUUAUAGUUCCAAAUUUUCAUCCAUAAGAAAAUAUUUCUAAUGACUAAAACAAUGAUUGCAAAUAAUUAACAAUAUUUUUAUGUUAAAGAUGUUUCAGACAUUUUGCAUACAUCAUUUCAAUACAAAAAUCUUUAAAAUAGGGAGUAUGAUUCCCACUUUAUAGAUUAAAAAAAUGCUUAGGAACGUCUAUUUGCUUAAGUUUACACAGCAUAUAAGCGCAAUAAUCUGUUUUAAAACUCAGCUAGAUUUCUUCAUUAUCACUGCUAUGUGAUAUUCCAUAGUGCAGAUAUACUUUAAUCAUAGUCUAGAUGAUGGGAUUUGGGUUGUUUCCAGAUUUUUUUUUUGUUAGGAAUUGUCCUUCAUUAAACAGUUCUAGACAUGUCUUUGCAAGAUUUUUCCCUGUGUCCUAUCAUUUCUUUAUCACAAAUCACUCUAAGAGUGGAAUCAUUGGGUAACUGGGUAUGUAAAAGUUCAAUUUUAUAUGAUAAUUCAAAAUUAUUUUUAAUAUAAUUUUAGCAACAGUUUUAAAGACAUCUUUGGUCUUUACCAUCCAACACACUCAGUGUUGUUAUUUAAUUUUUGCCAAUUGAACUGCUGUAAAUAUAUCUUUAUAGUUUUGAUUUGCAUUUAUCUAACCCUUGGGAAGUGAGCUUGGCAUCUUUUCACAUGUAUUGGCAAUGUGUUUUAUUUAUUUGAAAUAUAUUCUUAAUUUUUGCCCAUUUUUUUCUUAUUGGAUAAUUUUGUUUUCUUAAUGAGUUAUAAGGAUAUUUUAUUUGUUCUUUAACCUAAACCACUGCAAGUAUCUCUAGAUUUGAGCCAUGUCAUUUCACAUUCCUUUUUUUAAAUAAAUUUAAAGUUGAUAUUUGGGUUGUCUUAUUUAACUAAUUAAUUAAUUUACUCUAUUUAUUCUCUUUACAGACACGCUUGCAGUACAUGGAGGUUCCCAGACUAGGGGUCAAAUCUGCCGCUGCAGGCCUAUGCCACAGUCAUGGCAGCACUGGAUCCAAGCCAUAUCUGCAAACUAUGCCACA